rnacentral:lncRNA from 1 species
UAAGGCCAUGCAUCGUCUGGAAAUCGCAAAUAGCCACUGCAUGAGGUGUGCUAUUGGUAUAUGACGCACAACCUCAGGUGUGUGAUUGGCAUGCAUCGCCCAGCAAUAGCACAAUGCCAAAAAAAUUUCAAUUUUGACUUAUUUAAAGGGCAUUGAGGUCUUUUCACACCCCUAACUCAUUUCUAAUAAUUCUUAAAUAAUUUAA